rnacentral:rRNA from 1 species
UGGAAGUAAAAAUCGUAACAAGGUUUCCGUAGGUGAACCUGCGGAAGGAUCAUUACCGAGUGCGGGCCCUCGCGGCCCAACCUCCCACCCUUGUCUCUAUACACCUGUUGCUUUGGCGGGCCCACCGGGGCCACCUGGUCGCCGGGGGACGCACGUCCCCGGGCCCGCGCCCGCCGAAGCGCUCUGUGAACCCUGAUGAAGAUGGGCUGUCUGAGUACUAUGAAAAUUGUCAAAACUUUCAACAAUGGAUCUCUUGGUUCCGGCAUCGAUGAAGAACGCAGCGAAAUGCGAUAAGUAAUGUGAAUUGCAGAAUUCCGUGAAUCAUCGAAUCUUUGAACGCACAUUGCGCCCCCUGGCAUUCCGGGGGGCAUGCCUGUCCGAGCGUCAUUUCUGCCCUCAAGCACGGCUUGUGUGUUGGGUGUGGUCCCCCCGGGGACCUGCCCGAAAGGCAGCGGCGACGUCCGUCUGGUCCUCGAGCGUAUGGGGCUCUGUCACUCGCUCGGGAGGGACCUGCGGGGGUUGGUCACCACCAUGUUUUUUUUACACAAGGCG